CAUGCUGCAGUUACAUAGAUUAAUAUACAGAACACACAUAUCGUUACGCAUAUGUUGACCAUACAUAUGUUAAAGUUUAGGAUAAAUUUUACCAUUUAAAGAAUUCAAUGUGUACGAAUUUUUAAAACAGUCAAAAAAGUAUCAAUCAAGAAUUAUAUAUUUGUAGUGUUAAUUAAAUUUGCUUUCGCAACAAAGAAAUGAUGUUCAUUUCGGGUGCUUAUUUUAGCUGUAUGUAUAGAUGAAAUCGCACUGAUUGGGGAUCCUCGGUUAUCCAGCACAAUGGAACUUGAUGUAAAUGAUGACUAUAGAUAAAAUAGCUGCUAAUUACAUAUGCUGUAAUUUCCAGGACGUAGAUAUGUCUCUAGAUCCAAAUCCAAAAAUGUCUACUGUGGAAGACAAAUCAUGCAUACAUAUCUAUAUAUUUACAUGAGCGGAUAAUUUGCAUAGGAAAUACUCAUAAAUGGCACCAAUUAUCCUCCAACCGAAAUUACUAAUGAAUGGAAUUGGUUAAAUAUGCGGAAAAGCCAGAUUGCAAAAUGGAGGAAAAUUCAAGAAUUGAAUGGUUAAGAUAACUUCUUAACUAAAUAGACCAUUCCCAUUCAUUCCCGGACGUUCUUUAGAUUUUAGAUUAACACAUAUAUACGUACAUAGCGUGUAGAUUAGUUGUUAACUUUAAUACAUGGUAUUAGCAUUUUUGGACGAAGCUCAUUGUAUAUUCUCCAGCACCGAUGGAAAAAAUGACAAUUUGGUACCACAAUUUAAUUAUUCCAACUAAAAAUGAAAACUCAAAUUUAUUAAUGAUUAAUCAUUAUCAAAUAAUUAGAACGCAGCUUAUAUCUGCAAUUUCGCCCCUGUAGCGAGACCUAAAUUUUUGGGUACGCUCUAAAUCUUUCUGGUUUACACAGAUAGUUAUAUGUUUAACUCAUUGCUUUAUCUGUAAAUUUUAUCGGGAAAAUUUUAGUUUGAUGAAUAAAAAUGAAUUGUCGACCGACGCGAGUAUUGUCGGUGUGGCAAAAGUCGUCAUUUUAAAUCAA